rnacentral:lncRNA from 1 species
GCUGUCAUUUUUCUCAUCGCCUACUUCAAUAGCCUACAAUAUUAGCAGGUUAGUUAAAGAUUUUUAGUGUGCUAAUCUUUUCUUUUUGCAAAUAGAGACUGCUCUAAAAUAAAUGAUGGCUUAUGUUUUUAUUUCAUUUGUUGAACUCGUAUAUUCCUCAUCUGUCUUGCACCUGAAUGUUAUUUGUUUCCCUAAUUAUCACAUUUCUCAUCUGAAGUGAUAGUUGUGCUGCAAAUAGUCUCAGGAUUACUUGAUGAUUGUAUACCAAAAUGUUAUAUGGUGCCCUAUUUCGAACACAUAGAUCAAUUUUUCUAAAGCUUAUUUCAGUUAUAAUCUUUGUUGCAGUAGUCUAUACACACUCAAAUAAGAAUUACAUUUUGAUUUUGCUAUUUCAGUACCUUGCUUUUUACUUCACAAGAAAAGGUUGGCCGAGGUCCCUCCUCUAGCGCAAGGAUUUCUACUGCAACGAUUGCAACACACACAGGUAAGAGACGUUCUAUGCUCAUCUCCUCUCUACUUCAUGUUGCUUCAGGUUUUGCCCAGAUGGAUGCAUAUUGUGUAUUUGAAUUGGAUCAGGAGCGAUUCAAAUUUUAAGUAUUAUUAGUAAGUCUCUCUAAUAUUGUAUGCUUAUGGGCUCUUCUUUUGGGCAACAAAGCAAAGAACAGUGGAACAAGGUCCUUAAUUUUCGUUGCACGUUGGAGAUGGAUUCAAUUGAGCGACAAAUCUUAAUCCAAGUCAGAAGGCAAUAACCACCAUUAAUUUCUUUUCUUCUCCUAACAAAAGAAUCUUCUACGAAUCUUACCAAUUUCUAUGAUGACCCAUGGAGGGAGAUCAACUGUCAUAACAAGAUAGACCAUCAUAGAGCUGAGAACAAAAUGCACUAUAGCUUUUUGACCAACCCGAUUCAUUAACUCAGACUUCCAACUUUGAAGGUGAUCUGCAAUCUUGUUCUCUACAUAAAAACAGGAUUACAUUGAUUCAACUCUGAUCUGGUGUUUGACAUUUGUUUUCCCUCUACAUUAGUUUAUCGUUAUUAUAUUUGUAUAGAUUCAUAUUCUUGAGACUAACCUAAUCAACAUUCUUUACAUAAUAAUAUUAUAAGGAGGAUUAAUUUCAUAUACAAUACUAUAUAUAAUGAGAUAAAUCAUUUGGCCUUACGAUAUGUGUAAGAAAUAAUGCUUUGAUAAUUGGCAGCCUAUCAAGAGUUUCAUUAGUGUAGAACAAUUUUUUUGGCUGUUAACAUAGUUUAUAACAUUUGAUGUCGUAAUUUGUUUUGGAAGAAAAUUUAAUCUCAACUUAGAAUUUUUUACCGACAGGUUUAUGGUCUUUUUAUAUCUACAGGUUGUGGAAACUGAGAUCAUUGUAACUCAAAUGAGAGCUUGGCACUUAGCAUAUAGACGCCUCUAGAACCAAUCUAGAAUUACUGUGAGGUAAUUUUAUAUCUUGUUCUGUAAGUUGGAGAAUUAAUAGCUAGCUAGCAUAUGCUUCCUUAAUGAUGUUUUCUUUUUCCAUGCAUCUUCAUAUUACCAAACCCUUUUCUUGCAGGAAAAACGGAUAUAGAGUGAUAAAAGGCAUUAAUGUAAGUACUACAUAAAUGUACUACUUGUAUUUUUUUUAAUAAUCAAUGCUUCAAAAGUCUAUAUAGAUGCUGACGGGUGUCAUGGUUUUUUCAUUAUUGUAAGUUUGUUACAAGCAAGUGCUUUCCCUCACACAACUUCACCUUUUCUUUGCAUGUUUAUUACUUUUGUUUGCUGGUUUUGACUUACAGCGAAUUGUGUAUGCAACUACUGUAGCAUAUCAGUGACCUUCCGAGAAGAUACAAUGGUGUUCUUAGUAGUAACGCUGCUUGAUUUCUAUAGUUGGAGUCAUCAAACAGCUAACAUUUACACUUGAACUAUUUGGUGAAAUGCUUGGGAGAAAGAGGUCAGCAAGAAUGGAGUCAUGGAACAUCGGCAGGAGGGGUGCAGCAGUGGCAAC